UGUGAGGGCAAAAUGGGCAGCUCCUUCUGAACUCCCCCAGGGCAGAAAUGCAGCAAGGGUAGGAGGUUGAGCGCCUGGUUUUGUUCCUCACUUUU
rnacentral:SRP_RNA from 1 species